UACGUAGGGUGCAAGCGUUAAUCGGAAUUACAGGGCGUAAAGCGUGCGCAGGCGGUUUUGUAAGUCUGACGUGAAAUCCCCGGGCUCAACCUGGGAAUUGCGUUGGAGACUGCAAGGCUUGAAUCUGGCAGAGGGGGGUAGAAUUCCACGUGUAGCAGUGAAAUGCGUAGAGAUGUGGAGGAACACCGAUGGCGAAGGCAGCCCCCUGGGUCAAGAUUGACGCUCAUGCACGAAAGCGUGGGGAGCAAACAGG
rnacentral:rRNA from 1 species